AAAAGUAUGAAGAGUUCCCAUGAGAUCUCCCACCCAAGGAACUGCUAGAUCCAAAGCUGUACAGCUUGCGAGACCAGAGGAUACCAAACGCAUGAAGCCCAGCAUGGCUGUGGGCUAUUUUCUGCACUCAGUAAAGGUAAAAUAUGCAUGUAAUCCAGAGCUGUAUUUUUUCUCGAUUGUGAAAGGGUUAAAAAGAAACACAUUUGCAGCACUGAGGCAGAACGACCUUGCGGGGAGCAUUCUGGCCUGUGCCAGCAGUUCUUUCUUCCUUUGCACACAGCUUCUAAUGGAAAAGUACUGCCUGCCCUCUGUAAAUUAUUAAUUUCUUCAUGUUAUCAGAUACCGUUGAUAAAAAGACAAGUGGCCCCUGUACUGACUGUCUGGGGUAAAAUGAAUAAUUGCUGAUGGCCUUUAAACUCUGUAUAGGUUUUCAUCUACUUUCUACUGAGCUUGGCUUUGCACUGUGCAAUGGAGUGUUACACACUUUUAGCUGCUCACAAGUAACUCCUUAUGGAAUAAACCUUUACUGCUUUCAUUUUAGGUGCUGACUUAGAUGAAUGACUUUAAAUUACUUACAACCUUCAGCUGAUCUAAGAUGUCAAACAAACUUUAAACUAGUAUAUGUUCAAGGAUGUGUGAACCUGAAAACAAGAAAAGGCGGAGGUGCUUUUUCAUUAGCUGUUGCUUCGUAUGGGAGAGAAGGUCACCCCCUGGAGCGGCUGGGCACGGAGGCAACAGACACCAUCGCUCCAAUGAGAGAUACAAGCUGAAGGUUUACAGCUCCAUCAACAUAUCCUCCUCAAGAGUUUACUGCAGUCACAUGGGAACUCCUGCUGAAGACCAUCCUCUCCAGCUCAGCCUCUUCUUCUGCAGGAUGAAAAAAGCCAACAACACUUGGAAAUGGGAAGCCAGCUGAUACUAUAACUAAGAAGAUGCUAUUAUAUACUCACUUUGAAUAAUGUGUAAGCUCAAGAUACAGAAUGAAUUGAGGGAGGCUUAGAAAUGGGCAAUGAAUACUAUUAGACACAGGAAGAAUUUAUGAGAGGCAUCUAAUAAGAACAAGAUGGAUUAAUUUAGCAGAGCCCUCAAUAAGUAGUAGACUGGUGGAGGUGUAUAGAGCAAUGAAUGGAAAAGAGUGGGCAUAUGCAUAGCCUCACCUCUCACUUCUCAUAAAACAUGAGAACUAUGUAUGGGUCAUCCAAUGAAAAUGAAGGCAACCCAUUUAAAGUUGAUAAAGGGAAACAUUUCCUUGCAAAAAAAAAAUAUUGAUGGAAAUAAUUCCUGUAAAGUAUUUCUGAAUCCAAAAUUUAGGCAGAACUGAAGAAGGAUAGGAACACCAAAGGUAUAAAUGUCUCCUGGCCCAAGAUCUGCAAUAACCAGUAACCAUUGGAGAUAAAACCCCUUGACCUGGAUUCUAUAGUUGCCUGUUAAAAGAUGUGUUUCACUUGAUUUUGAAAUAGCUCAUACUAGCCAGCACCAGACACAAAUCAGUGUAUUAGAUGGUCUGUUGGUCUUUCAUGAUAUCUAAUUUAUUUGUUUCUUAUUUCACUGGUUUAGUGCAGCCAGAAACAUCUGCCAUUUAUCUCCACCUCUGUGGAAGACUUGCAAUACAUGGUCAUUUAGGGCAGCUAAUGAAACAGGUGUCUAUGCAUGACACUGGUGCUAUAACACGUUCUUCAGAACAUGGAGAAUGGCUCCAAAGAUGAUAAAACUACACUGAUGCAUAAUAGUGACCUAAAAGAGAAACAUUUAUAAUAACCAGUUAUAACCCCUCUCACCAUGAAAGUCUAUAAACCACUCAGUAAGUGAAUUCUGUGUAGACCAAACCAGUUUUUCUACCAGCAAAAUUCCCAUACAAAUUUUGCAAACACAGCUGCAGCUUAGAGCUGACCUAGGCAAUUGUAUAAGGCUGAAUUUGAGGACUGUUAAGUCAUAAGAUGAGCCUUAUGCAAGGCCAGAACAGGAAGGCAGACAUGUUUUUGAAGAUUAGAGGCAUUUCUAGGCAACUGAAGAACUCAUAAGAAGUCUCAAAUUUUCUCUAAACUUUUGCGGGAAACUGUUUCAACCCCCACUGAGCACAGAAAGUGAAGAGCACAGCAGUAAAGGAAAAGCAAUCCUUGCUUGUCUCUAGGGCUUGUAUUUCUGAGGAAGUCAGAACAGUAAGUAGCUCAAAUCCAUGAUAAAUAUCCCUUUCAGGUGAUUCACAAGGCUGUGUUAAAUCUGACCGAAGGUAAAUAUAGUUACACCAAAGCUAUUUCUCUAGAUUCCUUUAAUAAGUCAGGGGAGACAAACACUUUUGGGGUGUGAUUCAUGUCAUCCUAAAGUAGGUAUCUAACUGGGCCAGCUGAAUCACACCUUAGAAAUGUCAAUCUUAUUUACUCAGAUAUAAAGGUAGGUCAUGGUGAUGUGUUUAGAUGUAAACAUUUGGAGUACAGGCAUGUAAAGUUAGGUGAUAUAACUCCCACCCAUAGUCAGGGCUUAGAAAAAGGAUGGUGUAUAGAUUCCAUCUCAGGGUGGUUGUAGUGUUUACAUUUUGCACCAUUUUUGUUGGCAGCCCUCAUCUUGCUGCACCCCUGUGACCUGAAGCUCAGAGCAGCUGUGAUGUUUGCUUCAGAUUCACCUCAGAGAUAAAAAUCUGUUUCCCAGUUGUCCUUUCUGAUUACCAAAAUAAGCAAUGGGGCUUCGUGCUGCAACCCUAUGCCAAAUACCUUCCUCAUACAUAGCUACAAACUCUUUUUAGUGUGCUUCACCAUAAUGGCUUUUUUAGUCACAGAAAUACAGCAGGGAACAGCAGAAAAUCCGUAUAUGAAACUGUUUCUGAAUGCACUGCCACAGUCCUAAACCUCGUUUGUUUUCUUUUCCCUUUUAAUUAGGUUUUCUACAGGCUUCAGCCAUUAACUCUGUUUAAAAACAAACUGUCCAAGGCUUUUCUUUGAUAAUGGUUUAAUUUUAGCUUUUUCUCCAACCUCCGAAACACAAUUAACUCUCAUGCCUGGUAUCUCUCAUCAGAUUUUCCUGCAUCUCCUCCCUUGGCAGCCCUCCAAAGCAGGUUCAUUUAACACCACAAAGUUCCCACAAUUGAAUCCUAUCUCUACAGAUCUCACUUUCCCUGCAUAUCAGCUCACUAUGGAGAGCAACAGCUUCCUGCUUCAUUUACAUCAAAGCCAUCAGACGCUGUGGGCAGCAGUGAUUGUAUGACACUAUUUAAUCCAAUCCUCACCACUUAAGUGCCCAGCCAGGACAUGAAGGGAGAUUGUUGGUGCUUAUUCAUAGAAUCACAGAAUGGUUUGGGGUGGAAGGGACCUUUAAAGAUCAUCUAGUUCCAACCCCCCUGCCGUGGGGUGGCCCACUAGACCACCAUGUUGCUUAAAGACUUGUCCAACCUGGCCUUGAACACUUCAAGGGAUGGGGCAUCUGCAUAUUCUCUGGGUGACCUGUUCCAGUGCCUCACCACCCUCACAGUAGAGGAUUUUUUCCUUAUAUCUAAUUUAAAUCUACUUUCAGUGUAAAACCAUUACUCCUUGUCCUGUGACCACACGCCCUUGUAAAAAGUCCCUCUCCAGCUUUCUUGUAGGCCCUCUUUAGGUACUGGAAGGCUGCUGUAAGGUCUCCCUGGAGCCCUCUCCAAGCUGAACAACCCCAAGACUCUCAUCCUGUCUUCACAGGAGAGGUGCUCCAGCCCUCUGAUCAUCUUCAUGGCCCUCUGGACUCACUCCAACAGGUCCAGGUUCUUCUUAUGUUGGGGAUCGCAACUAAUGCAGUACUCCAGGUGGGGUCUCAUGAGAGCAGAGUAGAGAGAGAAAAUCACCUCCUUUGACCUGAUGGCCACACUUCUUUUCAUGCAGCCCAGGAUUCAGCUGGCUUUCUGUGCUGCAAGCACACAUUGCUGGGUCACGUUGAGCUUUUUGCACCCCCAAGUCCAUCUCCUCAGGUCUGCACUCAAUCAGUUCUCUGCCCAGCCUGCAUUUGUGCUUGGGAUUGCCCUGACCCAGGUGCAGGACCUUCCACUUGGUGUUAUAAAUGAACAGCACCGAUACAUUUCCAGCACUGCUGCUGCAAAGGCAAUACCAUGGGUUUUGGCUUGGAGUUAAUUACUUUUCCUUUUCCUACCUGCACAGGCAAGAGAUCUGAUCAUUUAUGUUGCUCACCAAAUCUUGACACAGCUCCAUUAUGGUCUGUUUUCUGCUGCUAUUUGCAGGCAGAAUUCAUGACAACUGUGCACAGGGAGACAGCACAGCCUUUUCUCCUCGAUGCUUGCAUCACCAAUCCAGCACAGUGCUGCUUUGGAGAAAAGCAGUAUCUCUGAUGGGGAGAGGAGUAAUCAUCAUCAUUCCCUGCAUUCCUGGAGCAGCUUUCAUCUGAAGGUUUUGAAGAAUAUACCCUUUUCCAGCAUUGCAUAUAAUGCAUAAACCUUACAAUAUCAAUGACAUGCAGACUAGGCAGCUUCACCGUGUUAUGGCUUGUUGAGUCCCAGAAAGAGCUAAUAUCAGCACCAAGUAAACCAGAAGCACUUUCAUUUGAAGCUACUGGCUUCUCAGUACUGUGGGAAGACAAGAUGCUUGCUUUGAGCCAUGCAGUUCUAGGCAACUAGGUCUGAAAAUCAGGACCAGUAGUCAUCACAGGCACAGUAUGGAGUUUUGACACUGUGGAUGUCACAAAAUACCUUUGCUUAAGAAGGCAGCACAACUGCACAUAAUGCAAUAUGGUAGAAAAUUGUGUACAAACCAUCUACAGUGGGUGUAUUGAGGACCCGUUCAUCAUUUUUGAUCACAUACAACUCUGUUUUAGGAAAUUCGUCACUCCAGAGCCCUGCCACAUCAGUGAAGUUUACACCUCAAGCCUCAGAACGUAUUGGCAUUCAUCGGUGUUAUUUUUGUACAGUCUGAUUUCUUUCUGCUGAUAGGGAAGGGCCCGAUGGAUAUAUUUCUUCUCAGGUUUUCUGAGAUUCUGAAAGUCCUAUUCAGUGUUUUAAGACUAUUUUUCUUUCAAGAGCCAUGUAAUAUUUUGGAAAAAAAUAUUAGCAAAAUAACACUAAAGAAAUGAAGGGAAGACUAGAGCAAGAGGAAAUUAAUGUAGGUCCUAAAUGUUACAGAAAACUGCAUGACAGAAUUUAUAAAAGCACCUUUAGAAAUGUGAUUGGAAACCUGUCAGCACUGUGAGAUGCCUGGGCAUUUUUACAAAUCUGCCUCUGAAGGAGCUGUGGCAUAAAAUAAAUGCUAAAACAAGGGUUUUACUUCCAAGAAUGCUCUAAGAAAUGGAUUGUGGAAGCUUAAAGUUCUUUCUUUAUGUUUUUCUUACCUUUUUAGAGAGGUGGUAGGAUGAUAUGUUAAUCUAUGCAUACAGGGUUAUAUUCCUUGCGUAGAUCUGUGUCAGUAAUUGAGGACUCUGGCAGGCUGUAAAGCAAUAUGGUACAGAGCUUCUGUGUGACUUUCAGUUGCCACAGAGACACUGCUCCCACAGUGGUGAAGGGUAAUGAUGGGAUGAUUUCAUGACUGACCUGCAUGGAAAUUGAGGAGUAGUCACUGACCUUACCGUUGGCUGAAGAAGAGGAAGGAGCACGUAAGCAACAGAAGCAGCUCCCUGUCAGUGGUGCUCAGCCAUGGAUUGGUGGUGCUUCAUAGCACUGCAUCCCUUCACAUCCCCUCCUUUGGGUGGCUGGAACCAGAGCCCUUUCCUCUUAACCCCUUCAAAUCUGGAAUAUCAUGCAGAUAUUUAAUUAUGUAACAUUAAAAAAUGUGGUAACUUUAUUUUCUGCUCACAGUUUUGGCUGCAUCUUCAUUGUUACUCUGAUGUUACUUCUUUGGAAACACAGUGAAUUGGAAAAAACCCCACAACCUCACCACUUUCUUACACCUUAGCUCCACUUCCAGUAAAGUGCCAUUUCCUUUUCUCCAGGGUUUUUGGUAGUCCAGGGCAUU